CUUAAAGAGGGUAAACAACAGCAGGAAGCCAGUAUGAGCCGGUGGCCUGAGAUGACGGCGGAAGUUCACCAAGGCUGCGAUAACGAGUAAUUAACAAAAGAAAUCGAAGGAUCUUAAUAUAGCUAAGAAAAUCAAUUAAACAGUCUUUUAUUUUCGGAAAAUUAGAGAGGGGCACCACGGAGCAGAAGUUGGUGGGGUUUAAGCCGCUGUGUAUAAAAACCCUUCUUCAACUCAACUUUGGGCUUCA
rnacentral:lncRNA from 1 species